rnacentral:rRNA from 1 species
UACGGAGGGUGCAAGCGUUGUUCGGAAUCACUGGGCGUAAAGGGCGCGUAGGCGGUCCCACAAGUCCGAUGUGAAAGCCCGGGGCUCAACCCCGGAAGUGCAUUGGAAACUGUGGGACUUGAGUUCGGGAGAGGAAGGCAGAAUUCCCGGUGUAGGGUUGAAAUCCGUAGAUAUCGGGAGGAAAACCGGUGGCGAAGGCGGCCUUCUGGAACGAAACUGACGCUGAGGCGCGAAAGCGUGGGGAGCAAACAGGAUUAGAGACCCUGGUAGUCCACGCUGUAAACGAUGGAUGCUGGGUGUGGGAUUCAAUACGGAAUUCCGUGCCGAAGCUAACGCAUUAAGAAUCCCGCCUGGGGAGUACGGUCGCAAGACUAAA